UAAAUUCUUAUAUCUUUGGUAGUUUAGUAAAAAGUACAAAUGUUCUAAGCUGUAUAGUUAUAGAUUCGUGAAUCAGGAAUGGCAGGAGAAAAAAAUUAAAACUUCAAAAUUUUAUUUUCAGGUUAUUUCAAUGAGUUAGCGACAAUAUUGGGUGUAUUUGGAGGGAUUUACAUCUGGAAACCACUAUUUGAGGAACAUUUUCCUCGGCAACAAAGGAAACCUCUUGAAAAUAACGAAGAAAUUACGCCUAGCACUACGCAGUGAUCAUGACUGCAAUUCAAAGAUGGUUUAGGAAUGCAAGCCCAAUUUCAAAAACAUUGAUGGCUAUAUCCAUAACGACUGCCUUGGUUGCCACACAUAGAUGGUUUUACGCCCCCUAUGCUAAGCGACAAAGGUACAGACAAGCAGAAGAAUGGGCUAACAUGAUAAUAGAAAAUGAAGAAAAAGGA